rnacentral:rRNA from 1 species
GACGAAGGGGGCUAGCGUUGUUCGGAAUUACUGGGCGUAAAGCGCGUGUAGGCGGUUGUUCAAGUCAGGUGUGAAAGCCUUGAGCUCAACUCAAGAAAUGCACUUGAUACUGGAUGACUAGAGGACCGGAGAGGAUAGUGGAAUUCCCAGUGUAGUGGUGAAAUACGUAGAGAUUGGGAAGAACACCAGUGGCGAAGGCGGCUAUCUGGACGGUUUCUGACGCUAAGACGCGAAGGCAUGGGGAGCGAACGGG